rnacentral:rRNA from 1 species
AGAGCGAACGCUGGCGGCAGGCUUAACACAUGCAAGUCGAGCGCCUGUAGCAAUACAGGAGCGGCAGACGGGAGAGUAACACGUGGGAACGUACCCUUCAGUACGGAACAACCAAGGGAAACUUUGGCUAAUACCGUAUACGUCCGUAAGGAGAAAGAUUUAUCGCUGAAGGAUCGGCCCGCGUCUGAUUAGCUAGUUGGUGGGGUAAUGGCCCACCAAGGCUACGAUCAGUAGCUGGUCUGAGAGGAUGAUCAGCCUCAUUGGGACUGAGACACGGCCCAAACUCCUACGGGAGGCAGCAGUGGGGAAUAUUGGACAAUGGGCGCAAGCCUGAUCCAGCCAUGCCGCGUGGAUGAUGAAGGCCUUAGGGUUGUAAGUCCUUUUAACGGGAGAUAAUGACGUACCGUAGAAUAAGCCCCGGCUAACUUCGUGCCAGCAGCCGC